rnacentral:lncRNA from 1 species
CUUUAGGUGAGGGUGAAAAGGUGAAGAAGGAUAAUGCUCAGAAAGAUGAGUUUAAUUUGCCCUGGAAGAAGGACAAGGAUAAGGGAGACUGCACUGAGAAGUCUGACAAAAAGCACAAGCCUGACAAAAAGCACAAGCCUGACAAAAAGCACAAGUCUGACAAAAAGCAUAAGGACAAACACGACAAACACCACAAGAAGAAGGACAAGAAGAACAAGGAAAGGAAGGAUGGAGAGAGCUCAAGCUCCUCGUCUUCAUCCUCCAGCAGUGAUGAGGAGUGAUGCUUCCUGGGAGAGCGGACGGCUCCGUCAGUCUCUGAUGAUCUUGUCUAAGUAGACGUGCGGGGUUGAGUGUGCAGCAGGAGCAACUUUUCUUCAUGUCCUUUCAUUGGCAUCACAGAAACAUGCUGGUCUUGUGUAAACAAAUCUGCUGAUUCCUAGAAGUAAAUGCAAAAAUAAAGUUCAUUUUCCUCACCACAAGAUGGCAGUGUUU